GGAUUGCCCUAGUAACGGCGAGUGAAGCGGCAACAGCUCAAAUUUGAAAGCUAGCCUUCGGGUUCGCAUUGUAAUUUGUAGAGGAUGCUUUGGGUAAAACGCCAGUCUAAGUUCCUUGGAACAGGACGUCAUAGAGGGUGAGAAUCCCGUAUGUGACUGGAAAUGUUAACCUAUGUAAAGCUCCUUCGACGAGUCGAGUUGUUUGGGAAUGCAGCUCUAAAUGGGAGGUAAAUUUCUUCUAAAGCUAAAUAUUGGCGAGAGACCGAUAGCGCACAAGUAGAGUGAUCGAAAGAUGAAAAGCACUUUGGAAAGAGAGUUAAAAAGCACGUGAAAUUGUUGAAAGGGAAGCGCUUGCAAUCAGACUUGUUUAAACUGUUCGGCCGGUCUUCUGACCGGUUUACUCAGUUUGGACAGGCCAGCAUCAGUUUCGGCGGCCGGAUAAAGGCUCUGGGAAUGUGGCCUCCACUUCGGUGGAGGUGUUAUAGCCCAGUGUGUAAUACGGCCAGCCGGGACUGAGGUCCGCGCUUCGGCUAGGAUGCUGGCGUAAUGGUUGUAAGCGACCCGUCUUGAAACACGGACCAAGGAGUCUAACAUCUAUGCGAGUGUUCGGGUGUCAAACCCCUGCGCGUAAUGAAAGUGAACGGAGGUGGGAACCGCAAGGUGCACCAUCGACCGAUCCU
rnacentral:rRNA from 1 species